UCACCGCCCUUCCUCGCCGCCCCUGUCCAAGCAGAAGGACCAGAAAGCGCCUCCGGGAAAGCGGGUCAGGGAGCGUGUCCCCGAUUACGCGGUGAGAGGGGCCAGAGGGCAGUGGGGCGCCUCUUCGAGGGCACACCCCGACCUCCAGCUCUGGGGACCUGGCUUUGUCGCCUGAGGCUGCUGCUGCGAUUUCGCAACUGUCUGGUUUUAGAGCGAACCCACCCCAAAGGUUAGCUGCAAGUGAAAGAGGAGAGAGGUGACAGGAAUGGGCCGCCUCAGGCCUUGAUGGGGACUUCAGCGUGCAGAGGGCGUGAGCAGGUAGUGAGCACCUGCCGGCCAGCCUGGAGGCAGGGAGGAGGGGCUGUGGGCAGCAGGACGGAGGCUCUGACAAUCAAGGAGAUUACUUAAUACUGGUGAGAGGCCUUGGGUUGAAGCCAGAUUCUAGUGCAGUCAGACGUGCCGUCAGACGUGGAUGCAACGUGGCAGUGAAGGCAAGAGGUGGCUGCUGUUUCUAAACCUCAGUUAAUAGAGAAAGCCCGUGGCGGGUGCUGAGAGACUGAUGACUGGUUUCUUCCCAGGACCAACAUGGUGGAAGGAGAGAACAUAUUCUGCCCUCUGACUCCCAUCCACCCACCUCCGACACAAGUUAAAUAAUAAAUGAAAUGUAUGGAGAGAGAGAGAGAGAAUGAAUACAGGACAACCAGAGAUAACUCAAGUGUCUCGCCCACCUCAUCAGCAAUGGCCAAAGAAUGGUUGAGACCCAGCUUGUUAAAUCCUGCUUGCGACCGAGAAAAGGGGUCACUUGGUUGGGUAGCUUCCCUGCCAUUCCACCCUGCAGCCUACUGCCUGCCAUCUGCCUUAGACUCCGGCACUCACAGAUGGGAUUCUGGAGCAAGCCAUUCCAUGGUCAUCAAGCCGCAAGUCCGUGGACAAUGAGCAACCAUGCAAACAACACUCCGCCCUGUGGCCCAUCUGCACUGUCUUUCCUUCUGCAGAUUUGUGAAACACCUGGGCCAUGGGGAGAUGAGGAUGAGCAACCGGAUAAACAUCUGGAGCACACCUAGGCAGGUGGGGCUCAGACAGUCAAUGAGGUCAAGAGAAUGUGUCCUGUGCUGUUUGUAAUAACACGCUCUGCAGAAAAUUGAGGACGGAUCAGGAAGCCCUAAGACUAACCAUGGUAAGUACCCACACGGACACUUGGAAAGCAAAGUGGACCUCUGCUGUCAGAAAACAUGGAUCUCCUAGUGUACAUGGGUGAGAUGUGGCCAGAACACCUGUUCCCCCUCCUGCCACAGAUGCCAAUGAGCAGGGAGAGGUAUUGGAUCUUUGUGUUGCUCUAUAUUCCGAAAGCCAGGCAAUUUGUGAAUGCGGCAGAUUAACACCCCAGGACAAGCUGCCAUCCCUCCUACCCAGGCAGCAGGAGGGAAACAAACAGCCAGUCAUUCCAGAGCUGUCCUGCCCCUCUGCUCAGGGGGUCAGCCACAUCUCUGAGACUUGAGAUGUCUGUGUCACUCUCGUCCUCUACUCAGCAGCCUUCUUUCAUUCUCUGAAUAUUGAGGCCCAGGAACUUUCUGGGAAUAGGGACUCUAGUUGGUGUCUUCUGGAAUCAACCUGGCAUUCGUCCAGGGCUGGAGAGCUAAUGCACAACAAAUAAGCUCUUCACAGUGUGUCUGUACUAAACUGUUAACAUACCCAUGCAGAUUCUUUUCGAUAGUAUGGGACACACAAGUGUCCCUAUCCAUAUCCCCUGUCAAGACUUCCCAGUGCCCCCUGGAUAUGCAUGUAUGUGCAGAAUACCUCUGGAAGAACCAACCAGGCACAGCCGCAGUGGUUGCAUUUGAAGGACAGAAAGGAGAUGGAGCAUGGGAAUGGGGGGGGGAACUUAUAAUAUCUGCUUCUGAUCUGUAUUAUCACCACAGGUAAUCCAGAGCCCGCAGCAUGCGCUUGGAGCCAGGAUACUUGGGUUAAGGUGAAUUUCCCAUUUGUGCUUGGGUGGCACCUCCUACCUUACUGAGUGAUUGUGAGGUUCAAGCAUGUAUGUGCUGAGCACAAAGUAACGACGAUUUGCAAUUGCUGUUAUUAAUGUUGUUGCUAUCAAAUUAGAAAGAAGAUAGAAUCUUGACAAAGAAUAACUCCAGCUGUGACUUUCUUUAUCAUAAAUGAUAAAAGGCAUUGUGUUUAAAACUGCUGGGCUAUUCAAUAAAGGCUUAGAUAUUU